ensembl:lncRNA
CCCUCAUUUCACUGAGGCUGUUCCCACUCCCCGGAGGAGGCAAGGGCACAUGAUCCUGGCCUAGCCAAUCAAAGCAUUACACUCACCUGGCCAUAGUGAUUGGUUCAGGGAUGAGCACGUGACCUAAACUAGAGCAUUGAGAACCAUUCCUAGGUCCCGGUGAACAGUCUGAUUAAGUGGGUUCUCCGUCUGCUGGGGUGGUUAAACCUCUAGGCUGCCAAUGGGAAAUGGCUGCUGGUGGUCUUGCCAUGAUGAAGAAAGGACAUCCUGAGAGGAGAGGAAACCCUGAGGAUGGCCGCUGUCACUUUGCUUUACCUCACGGAACUUUGCUUCCUGAUCUUUAAAGUGCUGGAGAAUGAUGUCUGUCUCACGGUGUUGUUUUGUGGAUUAAAUGCCAAAUACUAAGCGAGUAUUUGGAAAGCAUCUUCUUUCCUUUCUUCCUUCCUUCCUCUUUUCCUCCCUCCCUCCUUCCUCCUCUUGACCUUGCUUUCCUUUUAAGAAACCCCCUCAAAUGGGAGACUAUUUGGGCACAGAUUCAACAACUUUUAGCAGUGACUACUCUUCCGUGGGACUGGGGCAGCCAUGGAGCAAUCAUCUUGGAGGCCUCAAUGAAGGUGAUGUUUUCAGGGCUGGUGUGGCCAGCCAGAGGGUGCAGGGCUGAGAUAGGUGGAGGGUGGAGGUUAGGGGAGCAAUUCUUUGUUGACCGUAAGGAAGAAACUUCUAACCUAAGAGCUUUACAAAAAAGGCAACAGCAUCUUAGAAAGAGGUGAGUGUCCAGUCCUGGGACAGACAUUAAGGGAAACACGGAAGGCUAAGUGGGGACUGAUGAGGAAGAAAAUGACCUCCCUAGGGCUCUCAGGAAAGGCUGCUCUCCAGACCAGCUGAAUAGCUAACGUGGUGAAUGAUGCAAACAGGGAAGGAGGUCGGCCUUUCAAAUGGGAAAAUAAAUUGAUGUUUUAAUGCCAGAUCUAUGAAGGAUGUGGCACUCACCAAGCAAAAGGGGGAGCCCUUCCCAGCAGAGGGAGCAGCAUACGCAAACCCGUGGUUGGGUACAGAUGGAAGGCGGGGUUGGAAACCAGGAAGAUCAAGCCCAGACUGCAAACUUCCUUUUGUGCCGUGCUAGAGAGCCGCGGUUCUCAAACUCGAGCAUGCUUCAGAAGCACCUAGAGGUUACAGCUCAGACGGCUGCGUCCCUCUUCCAGAGUUUCUGAUUCAGUAGGUCUGAGUGGGGCUUGGAAACACGUUUCUCACAAGUGCCUCAGUGAUGCUGCUGGUCUAGGGGGCACACAUGGAGAAUCUCCGUCAUGGAGUCUGGAUCUUUGAGCAAUGGGAUGCUUCUGAAAAUGUUCUAGGGACUGUGACACAGUCAGACCUGUACUGAGCUUUCUGACAGAGAUGGUGGAGACUGUGUGGGAUGGGUCGUCAGGGGACAAGGACAUCAGUUAGGUGGUGGCUGAAGUAGUUGAGGCAACAGAUGAUGGGUGAGGCCUGAACAAGUGUGCUUAAGGGGCGGACAUGAGGGAGCCUGAA